rnacentral:rRNA from 1 species
GUGGGGAAUAUUGGACAAUGGGGGGAACCCUGAUCCAGCCAUGCCGCGUGUGUGAAGAAGGCCUUUUGGUUGUAAAGCACUUUAAGCGAGGAGGAGGCUACCGAGAUUAAUACUCUUGGAUAGUGGACGUUACUCGCAGAAUAAGCACCGGCUAACUCUGUGCCAGCAGCCGCGGUAAUACAGAGGGUGCAAGCGUUAAUCGGAUUUACUGGGCGUAAAGCGCGCGUAGGUGGCCAAUUAAGUCAAAUGUGAAAUCCCCGAGCUUAACUUGGGAAUUGCAUUCGAUACUGGUUGGCUAGAGUAUGGGAGAGGAUGGUAGAAUUCCAGGUGUAGCGGUGAAAUGCGUAGAGAUCUGGAGGAAUACCGAUGGCGAAGGCAGCCAUCUGGCCUAAUACUGACACUGAGGUGCGAAAGCAUGGGGAGCAAACAGGAUUAGAAACCCGGGUAGUCC